UUGAACGCUGGCGGCAUGCUUUACACAUGCAAGUCGAACGGCAGCGGGGGCUUCGGCCUGCCGGCGAGUGGCGAACGGGUGAGUAAUGCAUCGGAACGUACCCAGUCGUGGGGGAUAACUACGCGAAAGCGUAGCUAAUACCGCAUACGCCCUGAGGGGGAAAGCGGGGGCUCGCAAGACCUCGCGCGAUUGGAGUGGCCGAUAUCUGAUUAGCUAGAUGGUGGGGUAAAGGCUCACCAAGGCGACGAUCCGUAGCGGGUCUGAGAGGAUGAUCCGCCACACUGGGACUGAGACACGGCCCAGACUCCUACGGGAGGCAGCAGUGGGGAAUUUUGGACAAUGGGCGAAAGCCUGAUCCAGCCAUGCCGCGUGAGUGAAGAAGGCCUUCGGGUUGUAAAGCUCUUUCGGCGGGGAAGAAAUCGCAUUCUCUAAUACAGGAUGUGGAUGACGGUACCCGAAUAAGAAGCACCGGCUAACUACGU
rnacentral:rRNA from 1 species